rnacentral:lncRNA from 1 species
AAAAGAUAGGGAUUACAGAAGAGAGGUGAUGCAAGCAACAGCCACUAGUGGGUUUGCCAGUGGAAUGGAAGACAAGCAUUCCAGUGAUGCCAGUAGUUUGCUCCCACAGAAUAUUUUGUCUCAAACAAGCAGACACAAUGACAGAGACUACAGACUGCCAAGAGCAGAGACUCACAGUAGUUCUACGCCAGUACAGCACCCCAUCAAACCAGUGGUUCAUCCAACUGCUACCCCAAGCACUGUUCCUUCUAGUCCAUUUACGCUACAGUCUGAUCACCAGCCAAAGAAAUCAUUUGAUGCUAAUGGAGCAUCUACUUUAUCAAAACUGCCUACACCCACAUCUUCUGUCCCUGCACAGAAAACAGAAAGAAAAGAAUCUACAUCAGGAGACAAACCCGUAUCACAUUCUUGCACAACUCCUUCCACGUCUUCUGCCUCUGGACUGAACCCCACAUCUGCACCUCCAACAUCUGCUUCAGCGGUCCCUGUUUCUCCUGUUCCACAGUCGCCAAUACCUCCCUUACUUCAGGACCCAAAUCUUCUUAGACAAUUGCUUCCUGCUUUGCAAGCCACGCUGCAGCUUAAUAAUUCUAAUGUGGACAUAUCUAAAAUAAAUGAAGUUCUUACAGCAGCUGUGACACAAGCCUCACUGCAGUCUAUAAUUCAUAAGUUUCUUACUGCUGGACCAUCUGCUUUCAACAUAACGUCUCUGAUUUCUCAAGCUGCUCAGCUCUCUACACAAGCCCAGCCAUCUAAUCAGUCUCCGAUGUCUUUAACAUCUGAUGCGUCAUCCCCAAGAUCAUAUGUUUCUCCAAGAAUAAGCACACCUCAAACUAACACAGUCCCUAUCAAACCUUUGAUCAGUACUCCUCCUGUUUCAUCACAGCCAAAGGUUAGUACUCCAGUAGUUAAGCAAGGACCAGUGUCACAGUCAGCCACACAGCAGCCUGUAACUGCUGACAAGCAGCAAGGUCAUGAACCUGUCUCUCCUCGAAGUCUUCAGCGCUCAAGUAGCCAGAGAAGUCCAUCACCUGGUCCCAAUCAUACUUCUAAUAGUAGUAAUGCAUCAAAUGCAACAGUUGUACCACAGAAUUCUUCUGCCCGAUCCACGUGUUCAUUAACGCCUGCACUAGCAGCACACUUCAGUGAAAAUCUCAUAAAACACGUUCAAGGAUGGCCUGCAGAUCAUGCAGAGAAGCAGGCAUCAAGAUUACGCGAAGAAGCGCAUAACAUGGGAACUAUUCACAUGUCCGAAAUUUGUACUGAAUUAAAAAAUUUAAGAUCUUUAGUCCGAGUAUGUGAAAUUCAAGCAACUUUGCGAGAGCAAAGGAUACUAUUUUUGAGACAACAAAUUAAGGAACUUGAAAAGCUAAAAAAUCAGAAUUCCUUCAUGGUGUGAAGAUGUGAAUAAUUGCACAUGGUUUUGAGAACAGGAACUGUAAAUCUGUUGCCCAAUCUUAACAUUUUUGAGCUGCAUUUAAGUAGACUUUGGACCGUUAAGCUGGGCAAAGGAAAUGACAAGGGGACGGGGUCUGUGAGAGUCAAUUCAGGGGAAAGAUACAAGAUUGAUUUGUAAAACCCUUGAAAUGUAGAUUUCUUGUAGAUGUAUCCUUCACGUUGUAAAUAUGUUUUGUAGAGUGAAGCCAUGGGAAGCCAUGUGUAACAGAGCUUAGACAUCCAAAACUAAUCAAUGCUGAGGUGGCUAAAUACCUAGCCUUUUACAUGUAAACCUGUCUGCAAAAUUAGCUUUUUU